GAUGAACGCUAGCGGCAGGCUUAAUACAUGCAAGUCGUGGGGCAGCGCAGUGUAGCAAUACAUGGGCGGCGACCGGCAAACGGGUGCGGAACACGUACACAACCUUCCUUUUAGUGGAGCAUAGCCUAAGGAAACUUGGAUUAAUACUCCGUAACAUAAUGAAAUGGCAUCAUCUUAUUAUUAAAGCUUCGGCGCUAGAAGAUGGGUGUGCGGCUGAUUAGGUAGUUGGCGGGGUAACGGCCCACCAAGCCUACGAUCAGUAGCUGAUGUGAGAGCAUGAUCAGCCACACGGGAACUGAGACACGGGCCCGACUCCUACGGGAGGCAGCAGUAAGGAAUAUUGGACAAUGGACGCAAGUCUGAUCCAGCCAUGCCGCGUGAAGGAUUAAGGUCCUCUGGAUUGUAAACUUCUUUUAUUUGGGACGAAAAAAGAUCAUUCUUGAUCACUUGACGGUACCAGAUGAAUAAGCACCGGCUAACUCCGUGCCAGCCGCCGCGGUAAGAC
rnacentral:rRNA from 1 species